UUCAAAAGCCCCCGAGUCGUGAGGGGCGAUUCGCCUCUCUCCUUCUCUCUCUCUCCUUCCUAAAGUGGCGAUCCUCUGUUUUCGAUCGCCUCGACUCGUUAUUUUACUGAGAAACGGGGUGGCUCUUUCCCUCGACUCGUUAUUGUAUUGACUGGUCAAUAAUUUGUUCCCCGCACCGCGUCCCCCAAGAAAUUUCUCCUCUUCACGCGCUCCUCUCAAGCUCGCCACUCUAUAUAAAGCAACCCCUUUCGUCCCCGAUACGUGCACACUCUCAGUUUCAGCUUGCUCCGAGUGUCCUUCGAGUGUUAUUACCUUCCAAAUCAAAAGUUAGAGCAGUGACUCAUCUGAGGUUCUUGAAACCCAAAAGAAAUGAAGGUGAGAUUUCUUGAAGUCCUUCGAAAAGUUCUCUCUUUUCUUGCAUAUUAUGGGUAUCUUUUUCACUUCUGUGAGAUGGGGUUCUAGAUGUUCCUCUCUCCUGGGUUUUCUUGAACACUUCUCUUGGUAUCUCUCGUCUCAAGCUUCAUGAGUUAUCGUUUGCUUCUUUGCUGCUGUAAUUUUAUCGCAUAGCAUGAUUGUAUCUGUUUAUGUGAAUAAGAAUGCUCGGAAUACCGAAUGAUGCUUCGAAUUCUUAUUCGUUGUUGGUUUAUGUGGCCAACUUGCUUAAGCGCUAGUCUGUCGCACCACUCGUGAAUGCCGAGUUCGGUCGUCCUCGUGAGAGAGUGAUAUUUACUCAAAGUCUAACUGAGUUUUGCUUUCCUCAAACUUUUGCAGAAGUUGGUGGCGAAAGUGAAUCUCCAUGAUGACAGAGACAGGAGCAAGGCCAUGCGAGUAGUUUCUGGCUUUGGAGGUAUUGGCUCUCUCUCUCUCUCACUCUCUCUCCCCCGCUCUCUGUUUUUCCCCUUAGUCUCCCACUAAAUCUUCAAAUCGUCACUGUAAUAACUAAACAUCUUGUGCUUGAAAAGUUCGGCUUUAUCACUAACCUUUCUCACAUAAUGCUUUGCAGGGAUUGGGUCUCUGUCUAUGGACUCGAAGGACAACAAACUGACGGUAUCCGGUGAUUUCGACCCUGUCAAGGUGUUGAACAAACUGAGGAAAUCUUGGCACACAGAAAUCGUGAGCGUUGGAGCAGCCGAGGAUGAUGAUGGCAAGAAAGACGAGGGCAAGAAGGACGAUCAAGUCGCCAAUCUCGUAAAAGCCUAUGAAGCAUACUAUCCUACGCCGGUCACAUAUUACUGCGUGCCCCCAGGAGAGACCCCAAAUUGCGUCAUUUGUUGAAAUUCUUUGCGCUUCCAGACCGAAUCAGGACUUGGUUUGUGCAGCGGAGAGAAUUGAGUAUGUAAGGUUGAUCAUGCCUUACGAAGACAAGAUCAAGUGGAGUACCCUUUCUAGAAUUAUAGGCUUUUAUUGCGUCGUUCGCUACAUGCAUGUGCGUAGGGUGUAUACAUAUAGAGAGAUUGGUUUUCACUUGAGGAACUCAAGUUAUGGAAAAUCCAUUAUGUACUCGAUUUCAGCAUAUGAUUGUUUUCGGUGACUAGAAUAUUAUUAUUCUGAUGAAUUAUAAUAUUCUUGAAAAGAGUACGGUCAGAUACUAAAUGCGAUCCAUGCUUAUGUUUCGUUGACUUAGGAAUUGCUCUGGCAUAUUAUAAAUUCUGGUGACUGGUUAGGUCAAGUGACUUGAGGCAAGCGGCAAACAAGCAGGUUAUACUUGCUGAAAUUACUCGAAAACUUCUUAACCAAACCAAGAUAAGAAAGUGGGACCUAAGACCGUGCAUGCCGAAAAUUGUUGUUGUUUUCUUGCGUUGCUUGCUUAAAUUUGAUCGUGAGUGUGAACCCCGGAUAGGCCAUUUAACUAACCAGUGCCCUUCUUAUCAAUUAAAUGAGAACAAAAAAGACAGCUGUAUUUCACUGCAUCGUUUGGAAGUAUGUGAUGACGUCGCUACAACCCUCAUCAAUGAUUGCUGAUAUGCCUAUAAGUUGAAGGGAAAAGGGACCUUUUAUGACCACUAUUUGCGGACUUGAUGGGCCUGCCACAGGACCGAGGAUGGAUGGCGGGGUGCUCUUUUGUUAAUCUCUGAAGACAUGAUAUAUACUUGUAAAUCAUACCAUCCUAGUUAACAAACUUUAUAAUGGCGAAUCACUCAAUCUUCUCCGAGCUAGUAGUAAUGGAUUUCAUUCACGAGAGUCACAUAUCACAAGCCGAUUGAUCUAGCAUUCUCUUACCCAUAUGGCUUGAGUAAUUUUUUUCCAAGUUAGCAUAUCUCACACACUCACGAAGAUGGUGGAGAGAAAUUCUUUUGGAGAGAGAAUCUCUGAAUUUUAAAUAUUUGUGAGAUGAUCCAAACAAAAGGAGGAGACCUCUUUAUAUACAAGUACUCUUUAGAUAACAACCAUAGAUAUCUCAUCAAUCUAAUGGUGGAAAUUUUAUCUUCCUAUAUACUAACUAUGUGUAUUUAUUAUAGGAACACUUCGGAGUAAUGUACAUUUACAAUAUUGCUCAUCCUAGGAAUAUUCUUGAGAAUACGGAAGAGGAUCGCCCGAUCUUCUAGGAUCAUUCUUGGUCCUUUGUGCACGGGAAACCUUUAGACCAUGAUAUUCUCCUCCACCUAAUCAGGCAAUGCCCUUGUCGCAUUUUUUGCAGGGAAUGCUUCGAUUUGCUUUAUGAAUCAUUAGAGAGCUUCCACAGGCUCCCAUCUAGCUUCACUCUCUAGUAGACCUUUCCAUCAUAUUAAAUAUUCUUGCUUUGGUGCACAAUAUCACUUUCAUUUAACUCAAUCUACCUUGAUGAAAUUGAUUUCACGAUCAUAUGAGGUUUUUUGCUUGAUGAGAUACCCAUUGCGACUCUCCUUGAUCCAGGUCUUCUUCAUCUACAUGAAAAAGUUUAAUCAUACUCAUAUGUAACAUUGGAUGUACCUUUAGUUUUGGUGGGAGCUUUGGUAUAUGCUAUCUUCUCGACUUGUUGCACCACUCAGAGUGGCAAGUUGUAACAAUGGAUCAAUUUCAUAUGCACAUCUCGGUAUCAAAGAAUUAAAUGUAGUUUUGCCUAUGCCAGGUCCUCGACUCGGUACUCUAUAUAUCGUCACUUCUUGUCGAUCCAUUUCUUCAUGUGCGUGGAGACCUUGUGUAGACAAGUCCUUACCAAGUCCACUUGUUUUUACCACUCCUUAGUGAACUUAUAAGUCGAUCGGCUACUCCCUUGAUAGCGUGUUGCAACCCUACUCAAAGUGAGUGGUCACUGCCUCGUCAUGAUCUUGAAGGGACUUUGGUUUGUAGACUCACUUCGCUACAGGUUAUAGGAUUAACUCCUAUAACCGAGCUACAUCGAUCAACUUUGCACAAUCCUCUUGCAUUGUGCUCAUGUCGUGUCUGAAGUACAACUCUAAGGGCACAUGCACUCUCUUUGUCUAACUGUUGAUUUGGAGAUGUAGACUCAUGGAGAAGUUGAGGCUUUGACUCUAGCAGCUUAAAGAGCUUAGUCCAUAAUCGCCUAGUGAAUUGAGGAUUGUGGUUGCUCACAAUUGUUUGCAAUAUGCCCUAAUAUUUGAUGAUGUGCUUUAGGAAUAGCCAAGCCGCCUCCUCAGUUAGGAAGUGCUUUGUUGCUCACACGAAGGUCACGUACCUAAAGAACCGAUCCACUAGGGCCAUGAGAGUUCAAACACCCUUUGGACUUAGGUAAAUUCACAAUGAAAUCCGUGGAGACGCUCUACCAUGGACACUUUAGGAUAGGAAGUGGCUCAUGGGGCCCUGCCAACAACCGUUGUUCGAGCUUGUCUUGUUGGCACACAAGACACAUCCUCACAUAAGUGUCCACAUCGGUGCAUAGGUGUGGCUAAAAGUAAUGAUCCUCCACAAGUGCCAUAAUGCGAUGUAUCCCUAGAUAACCUCUCCACUUAGAAUUAUGGCACUUGCAUAGCACCUCCUUUGUAGCUUUCCAUGAAGCAACACGUAUAGUUGUCGCCCCUUAGAUCUCGCUCACAUUGGAAUUGUCGAGUCUUGCCCUCUCAUGCAUGCUCAAGGAGUGCGUUGGCGGAUGGGUUGUGUCACGGCCCCUCCUUAAUGUGCUUGGUCCAUGGAUAUUCAGGUUGACUAAUGGUUGUUAGCUCCAUCUUUCGGCUAAGUGUGUCGGCCACAAAAUUGGCCUUCUUAGGAUUGUACUGUAGCACGUAGUUGAGCUUCCCAAGGAAGUCUUGUCCAAGCUUGCUUUGGAAUUAGCUUUUUUGGGUUUAUAAGUAGCUCGUGGUAACAUUGUUAGCACUCGCCAUGAACCACGAUUCGAGGAGAUGAUGCUGCCAUGUGCAAAGGCAGUACACCACCACUGCCAUUGCCUUCUCUUGGACCAUGUAUCGCUGUUUGAUCUCAUUUAGAUUUCUUAAUUCAAAUGUCACCGGGUGUCCUUGCAUUAGAACACCACCAAUAGCAUAAUUAGAGGCAUCAAUCUCUACAUCAUAGAGUUUGAGUGGUAAGGCAUCAUGAGCACCGAUUCCUUGGUCAUCACUUGCUUUGGCCAAUUAAAUGCCUUUUGAUAUUGAGCCUUGUUGACCAUGGGCAAGGCCCUUGCUAGAUCCGACGAGGCUUGCCUGAGGUCGGUGAUCUACUGGAGGAAGAAGGAAGGGAAGAGAAAUAUAAUUAAGUCCUGGCCGUCGGUUUAUUAUGAUUUCGAUAUUUAAUGUUUGACUAAAGGAAAAAUAAAAAUGAAAGAUUGGGUAUUUAGAGACUCUUCAUUGAAAAUGACUAAUUUGGAAUAUAUUUUUUAGUAAGUAAUCACUUGAAAUAAUUAGCUAUUGAAAUUUUUUCAUUAUCUAUAAUAAUUUAUAUCCAAACAUUUUCAUGGAUGACGGAAACACUUUUCGUUCAUUCAUUUUUGUAAAUGGUAUAGACGGUAUUCCCUGUUUUAAAAAAUGAUUGCUCGUAUCGUUCACAAAAAAGAAUGAAUAAAAAGUAUUCUUAUUGUUCACAAAAACGUUGAAACAAAAAUUGUUAGUCGAUACGAAAAAUAUCUUUUAUUAGCUAAUUAUUUCAAAUGACAUAAAUAAUCAUUUAUUUAAAAAAUAUUUUUUAAGUUAUUCAUUUCUCGCAAUAUCAAUGCCCACUAAGAUUCAGUCUGAGAUGGAUCUCGAAGAGAGCGGACCACGUUUAUACAAUGAUCGUUCGACCUGCUAAAACGUGGUUUAUCACGGCCCUUCUUUUUGCAUUAGCUGAACGAACCAUCUCUGCCAGCAAUUCUGACCGAUGUGAUGGAUUAUAAUUAAAUAAUAAUUCAUUGACCAAGACUUCGACUUCACGGCCAACGUCCAGGAAACAUAACAAUCCAGAAAGGAACAUUAAUAAAAAGAAAAAAGAAAGGGCCCUUUCACGGACGAUGGAAAUGACGACGAUCACCAUCUCCAACGUAGCAUUUCGACCCGUUCGAGAGGAUGGGAUCGAUCUUGUGCAUGAAACGCGUGCUUUCCUGGAGAUUUCAUGUUUCUCGGCCCUUCGGCUUUUUUCGAUCUUUUCUCAUCUCACGAAUCGCGAUUGAAGAAAAAGCUCCUUUACGCGAGGAGAAGAGUUAUGAUCUUUCUCAUUUUUUGUCAAAAUUUUUUUUAAAAAAAAAUGCCCAGUAAUGGCAUUUCAACAGAGAUGAUGCAAGGAGUGAUGUCUGCUUCGAUUCCUGUCCGAUCGUCCGUCUUUUAUCCCGAUCCUCUCUCCCGUUUAUUUCAAUUUGCCCUCGCGCUGCAAGAUUUUCCUAUCAUAAACUCUUACAGAAUUGAGACGGUAGAGAAUCAAUGAUUGAUCUCAGUGCAUUUUCAAAUGAAAAAAUUAUGGAUUUAGCUUGAAACCUCUAUCGCACAGAUUGUCAAUUUAACUUCGAAUUUUUGCUGAUGAAGUCCUAGAAACUUUGCAUAGGCUUUCCAUGCAGUCCUUCUGAGGCUAGUUUAUUGGAACGUGGUCCAUUCUCCUCAUUGACAUGAUGACGUGGAGGUCCUGCUCCUCGGCAAGCGGGCGGAGUCCAAGGCCACCCUAGGUGGGGUCGUGAGGGAAGCACCCUCAAGUUGCCAAAAGAUUUUUAUAAUUUGAGCAUAUACUUUAUUGGUAGUUUAGGCUUAAAUCCACGAUGAGCAACUAGGUAUAUAUAAUCUCUUUCUUAUACAUUUAAGAGAUACAUGAGAUGUGUCAAUUAUAGUGCAAUCCUUUAUUGGACAAAAUCCUAAUUUAAGAGUAAAGCGGGAUGAGAAUCUUGUGUCUCGAAUUCUUUUUCUUGCUUGUAUGCUUGAUUUCCUUGUGACUGUGCAUCAAAUCCUAACACGAUUGUCACCCAAAAAUCGCUUGGUGACAUUGUGUUUCAAGCAAAGCUGUCCGCAUUGGCGAGCCAUGCGGCGGGACAACAGGCAUGCGAUUUUGGUGGUAUAUUCAUUGGAAAUAUUAAAUUAGAAUUGUGCUUGCGAGAUUUAGGACUACAUCGACGAAGUUGAAAAAUUUAGAACUGCAUAAAUACUCAUACGAUAAAUAAGUUGAGGAUAGCUCCAAUGAUUAUCCCUAUAGAUAAAGAUUUUUCAAUUCUUAUAUUGUCAUUUAGAUUAGAUGGAAGAGAUGCAUACGUGCAAAAUCGCAAUGCAAUUCUAUCUAACGAAAAGCUUGAACCCGCCAACUGCCUGAACUGAGUCAGUUGCCAACAUUCAAGACUCACUGCUUCAAAAGUCACCGAGUCGCGAGGGGCGACUCGACUGAGUCACUUCAAAAGCCCCCGAGUCGUGAGGGGCGACUCGCCUCUCUCCUUCUCUCCUUCUCUCUCUCUCCUUCCUAAAGUGGCGAUCCUCUGUUUUCGAGCGCCUCGACUCGUUAUUUUACUGAGAAACGGGGUGGCUCUUUCCCUCGACUCGUUAUUGUAUUGACUGGUCAAUAAUUUGUCCUUUGUUUUCCGCACCGCGUCCUCCAAGAAAAUUCUCCUCUUAACGCACUCCUCUCAAGCUCGCCACUUUAUAUAAAGCAACCCCUUUCGUCCCCGAUACGUGCACACUCUCAGUUUCAGCUUGCUUCGAGUGUCCUUCGAGUGUUAUUACCUUCCAAAUCAAAAGUUAGAGCAGUCACUCAUCUGAGGUUCUUGAAACCCAAAAGAAAUGAAGGUGAGAUUUCUUGAAAUUCUUCGAAAAGUUCUCUCUUUUCUUGCAUAUUAUGGGUAUCUUGUUCACUUCUGUGAGAUGGGGUUCUAGAUGUUCCUCUCUCCUGGGUUUUCUUGAACACUUCUGUUGGUAUCUCUCGUCUCAAGCUUCAUGAGUUAUCGUUUGCUUCUUUACUGCUGUAAUUUUUUAUCGCAUAGUAUGAUUGUAUCUGUUUAUGUGAAUAAGAAUGCUCGGAAUACCGAAUGAUGCUUCGAAUUCUUAUUCGUUGUUGGUUUAUGUGGCCAACUUGCUUAAACGCUAGUCUGUCGCACCACUCGUGAAUGCUGAGUUCGGUCGUCCUCGUGAGAGAUUGAUAUUUACUCAAAGUCUAACUGAGUUUUGCUUUCCUCAAACUUUUGCAGAAG
rnacentral:lncRNA from 1 species